rnacentral:lncRNA from 1 species
CUAGCUGUAUGAGUUAUAAUUUCAUAAAGCUAGAGAACCGAAAGUAUAAACUAAUUCCAAGGACUCCAGAAGCCGGGCCUGCGGCGAGGUGGCUAUGGUCUGGGCAGGGAGAAGGUGGAUGCUGCACAUGCCUGUGCCAGUUCAGAACACCCAAAAUGCCGACGUGGGGAUUCAAGUAGAUUCCUGCCUGCUGAGAAACGGUUGUACCUGUCAAGAACUGAGUGAACACAGAUUCAUGUUGUUGGCUACAGCCGCC